GCUCUAGGCGAAGACCGCGGCCCCGUCCCCGCGCCUCCACCGCCUUCUUCCAGGAGGAGGGGCCGUGCGGCGCCUGCCCGGGGGCCCUCAGGCCGCAGGCGGGCGCGAGCUUCAGGGAACUUAGGGGGCUCCCGCCUCCCCGGCCACGCGAGCGGGAACAGUCUCCUCCACUCGGAGCGAUUAUAGAUCCAGACUCCUGUGCCUGACCACUGCCCAUGGCCAACUCUCUGCUGAUGACUGGACUUGACUACACAAGUUGUUGGCCAUCUUAAAACCACUCAAAGUUGACGGUCUCCUCUCCUGCCUCCUGCGGCUUCCAUUACCAUGGCAGAGACUGUGGUGUCUGAGGUGGUGUAGCGUACUGAAGCAAGGCUGUCUUGAAGAAGAGGAGACAACUCACAAUUCUACCACCUUUGUUGACCUCUUCUUCCCCCCAACUUAUUGCUGUAGAGGCUACCUGAGCUCAUUGUCCCUGGAGAUGGACCAAAUAGAAGAAUAAGCAGUGCCUGUGUGCUGAAGGUAAAGAAAUUUCAUGUGGUGGAUUCCUACAAAAGAAAAAGCUGCAAAAGAGUCAACCAGGAAAGGUGCUAGACACACAUCCAAUGGCUGCUGAGUGAUGAAUGAGAAAGAAACCUUCGGUGUAGUAAGCCAUUGAAAUUUGGGGGAAAUUUGUAAUAGCUGUUGCUGUAAACCUCCGCACUGCAAAACACACACAUCCUAGAUAAUUAAAAGACAACUUCUACCAGAUGUUGAAGGGCACAUCAUUCCAAUCUUAUGUAAAUUAUUCCAGAGAAUAGACAAAGAGGAACUAUUCCUCCAACAGAUUUUAGGAAGCCAAAAUAACCUUAAUACCAA
rnacentral:lncRNA from 1 species